UUAAACCCUUAUUUCCCAGAUCAGAUCGCUCUCUCUAAAACUUGCCGCCUUAGUAAUCCUAUUUCCAUUGGGAUUUCAGUAUAAUAAAUAAGGUAUCCCUUAAACCCUUAUUCCCUAUGAUAAAACCGCCUUCAUAAAGCUCCCCUCAGUUUAGCCUCUAUCUUCCGCUCUUCUCCACAAAAGUCUCUCUCGAAACCCUAACUCAAAAGUUUAUGGCCAAUCGAUCGAGCUCGGAGUCGGCAAAGUUUGGAGAUCGGUCAAGAAAUUGAGGAGAUUGGAAGGGGAAAAACUUGGAAGCUGCAAUUUAACGGCCAGGUGUGAGAUCGAUCAAGAAACGGAGGAGCUUGGGGUGUUAACAAGUUGUUGAUAAAAAAAGAGAGGAGCUUGGAAGUGGCAACCUUAAUGGCAAGGUACCUUAACAUCGUGCUACCCAUUUUUUUCCUUCAAAAUUUGUUACCUUGUUAUUGUAUGCACUUAUUAUUGUAUAGUUUGUUUCUGUAUGUAAAUAUCUUCAUUAGAACUUAAUAUAGAUGGAUGACUACCAUUCUACUUUUUCACGCAUCCAGUCUUAUCAUAUAUUCAUAUAUAUGUUUUUGGUUUAAUGAUUGUGUCGUCUGUAUUUCAUCAUUGUUUUGCUCUUCUUUAGUUGUUGUAAGUGACACAUCGACUUAUAAUUAUCACUUGUCUUUGGAGUUGGAUAUUGAGGUUGUGUCAACUGAUUAAUCCUAGACAUGCUUUUUAAGAUUGUAUAGUGUCAAAUGUCAACCUACAUUAGCCCAUUUAUAGCGAUAUGGUGGGUGUCACAAGUCUAUCCCCUUGUAGGCAUUUUUAAUUUACUCAUAUUCUUGACCGGAGAUGUAUUCCAGUUUGU